UCCUUUGCUUGUGUGUGCUUUAAUGCUCGAUUCUUUGAUCGACUAUUCAUCAAAUUAAUGUGUAAUUCCACUCAAGGCGGUGGUAGAAUACACAUUUAAAAUGUUAGAAGUGGAUGUUGAUCAUUUGGAGAGAUAUUGGUCCUGCACUCUGAACGUUGCACUUGCCAUUGUUAUUGCGGGGUUUAGGGAAUAAACAGACAUUUGAAAAGGUUGAAGAAAAACAGGACGGAAAAGCAUCACGCAGAGUGGACAGAGCGUUUUAUGUCGACGGUUGCAUAAUCAAUAAGAAACAUAAAAGUGGACGGUGCAUUACUGAGCUUCAUCGUUUGUUCGUUACGCGGUGCUUAAGGACAAUAGGGGUCGUGUUCCUGUCGGUGGUCAGAUGGAGGGAGAGAUCAGAAAUAUGAUAAUCUGCUGAUGAUGAUGGAGCUCCAAUUUACAGCUGAUACGAGAGUGGAGUGGUUUGCAGGGGAUGGGGACGUUCCGUCUAAAAUGGCGUUUCCCUUUGUUUCUGCAUCCCUCUCCUCUCUGUAACAGCGAGUGGGUAACGCUGUGCUAUUACCAUAUCCACGAGCCUGCACCUCGUCUUGAAUCUUACAUCCAUACUGCAGACUCUUACGCAGUGGAUUCGGGGAUUUAACGGCAAAAGAGGAGCUGUCAGAUGGAGAAGUGAUCUCCUGUGUGGUUGGCUCAGAGGCUCUGACAGGAUCAGACCUGAGAGCAGGUAGAAGGCACUGACUUCAACUACUAUUGAGCAGAUUUGAUCCUCAAUUAGUCCAUGAAUUUGUCACUGUGUUCUGCAGCAUUGAUGAUCAUAACUGCAUAUCUGUGUCAAGCUCCAAACAAUGACUGCAUUAACGUGAUUCAUCCUAAACCUGCAUCUCGGCGCGUUUAACACCUCAAAAAAACAGCUUGUAAAUUUUUGUGCAGGGACAACAAAUCAGCAGAAUUGUUCUAAAGCCACCCUGCACUCACUUCAAACAGCAUCCCUACAUCAUCC